rnacentral:rRNA from 1 species
CCUACGGGAGGCAGCAGUGGGGAAUAUUGCACAAUGGGGGAAACCCUGAUGCAGCGACGCCGCGUGAGUGAAGAAGUAUUUCGGUACGUAAAGCUCUAUCAGCAGGGAAGAAAAUGACGGUACCUGACUAAGAAGCCCCGGCUAACUACGUGCCAGCAGCCGCGGUAAUACGUAGGGGGCAAGCGUUAUCCGGAUUUACUGGGUGUAAAGGGAGCGUAGACGGCUAAUCAAGUCAGAAGUGAAAACCCAGGGCUCAACCUUGGGACUGCUUUUGAAACUGAGUAGCUAGAGUGCAGGAGAGGUAAGCGGAAUUCCUAGUGUAGCGGUGAAAUGCGUAGAUAUUAGGAGGAACACCAGUGGCGAAGGCGGCUUACUGGACUGUAACUGACGUUGAGGCUCGAAAGCGUGGGGAGCAAACAGGAUUAGAUACCCCAGUAGUC